CUUUCUUGCUGGCGACCGGCGCACGGGUGAGUAACACGUAUCCAACCUGCCCUUUACUCGGGGAUAGCCUUUCGAAAGAAAGAUUAAUACCCGAUAGCAUAAUGAUUCCGCAUGGUUUCAUUAUUAAAGGAUUCCGGUAAAGGAUGGGGAUGCGUUCCAUUAGGUUGUUGGUGAGGUAACGGCUCACCAAGCCUUCGAUGGAUAGGGGUUCCGAGAGGAAGGUCCCCCACAUUGGAACUGAGACACGGUCCAA
rnacentral:rRNA from 1 species